rnacentral:tRNA from 1 species
GGAGGAAUACCCAAGUCCGGCUGAAGGGAUCGGUCUUGAAAACCGACAGGGGCUUAACGGCCUGCGGGGUUCGAAUCCCUCUUCCUCCGCCA